rnacentral:pre_miRNA from 1 species
AAUAAGUGUUGUUUAUAUUUAACGUUUGAUCGUUCGUUUUAUUUAAAUUUUUUUUAUGAUUAGUUUUUUUAUUGUUAUUAGAUGAUAAAACAUGAAUAAUACUUUAUGUGUGACUAUUUUUUAUUUUUUUAUUUUUUUUUAAAAUAAGACGGACGGUUAAAUGUUGGACAUAGAUACCUAUGUCUAUACUUAUU